GAUGAACGCUGGCGGCGUGCCUAAUACAUGCAAGUCGAGCGAACAGAUAAGGAGCUUGCUCCUUUGAAGUUAGCGGCGGACGGGUGAGUAACACGUGGGUAACCUACCUAUAAGACUGGGAUAACUUCGGGAAACCGGAGCUAAUACCGGAUAACAUUUAGAACCGCAUGGUUCUAAAGUGAAAGAUGGUUUUGCUAUCACUUAUAGAUGGACCCGCGCCGUAUUAGCUAGUUGGUAAGGUAACGGCUUACCAAGGCGACGAUACGUAGCCGACCUGAGAGGGUGAUCGGCCACACUGGAACUGAGACACGGUCCAGACUCCUACGGGAGGCAGCAGUAGGGAAUCUUCCGCAAUGGGCGAAAGCCUGACGGAGCAACGCCGCGUGAGUGAUGAAGGGUUUCGGCUCGUAAAACUCUGUUAUUAGGGAAGAACAAAUGUGUAAGUAACUGUGCACAUCCUGACGGUACCUAAUCAGAAAGCCACGGCUAACUACGUG
rnacentral:rRNA from 1 species